rnacentral:rRNA from 1 species
UGUGAGCUCGAUGAGUAGGGCGGGACACGUGGUAUCCUGUCUGAAUAUGGGGGGACCAUCCUCCAAGGCUAAAUACUCCUGACUGACCGAUAGUGAACCAGUACCGUGAGGGAAAGGCGAAAAGAACCCCGGCGAGGGGAGUGAAAAAGAACCUGAAACCGUGUACGUACAAGCAGUGGGAGCACGCUUAGGCGUGUGACUGCGUACCUUUUGUAUAAUGGGUCAGCGACUUAUAUUCUGUAGCAAGGUUAACCGAAUAGGGGAGCCGAAGGGAAACCGAGUCUUAACUGGGCGUUAAGUUGCAGGGUAUAGACCCGAAACCCGGUGAUCUAGCCAUGGGCAGGUUGAAGGUUGGGUAACACUAACUGGAGGACCGAACCGACUAAUGUUGAAAAAUUAGCGGAUGACUUGUGGCUGGGGGUGAAAGGCCAAUCAAACCGGGAGAUAGCUGGUUCUCCCCGAAAGCUAUUUAGGUAGCGCCUCGUGAAUUCAUCUCCGGGGGUAGAGCACUGUUUCGGCAAGGGGGUCAUCCCGACUUACCAACCCGAUGCAAACUGCGAAUACCGGAGAAUGUUAUCACGGGAGACACACGGCGGGUGCUAACGUCCGUCGUGAAGAGGGAAACAACCCAGACCGCCAGCUAAGGUCCCAAAGUCAUGGUUAAGUGGGAAACGAUGUGGGAAGGCCCAGACAGCCAGGAUGUUGGCUUAGAAGCAGCCAUCAUUUAAAGAAAGCGUAAUAGCUCACUGGUCGAGUCGGCCUGCGCGGAAGAUGUAACGGGGCUAAACCAUGCACCGAAGCUGCGGCAGCGACGCUGAUGCGUUGUUGGGUAGGGGAGCGUUCUGUAAGCCUGCGAAGGUGUGCUGUGAGGCAUGCUGGAGGUAUCAGAAGUGCGAAUGCUGACAUAAGUAACGAUAAAGCGGGUGAAAAGCCCGCUCGCCGGAAGACCAAGGGUUCCUGUCCAACGUUAAUCGGGGCAGGGUGAGUCGACCCCUAAGGCGAGGCCGAAAGGCGUAGUCGAUGGGAAACAGGUUAAUAUUCCUGUACUUGGUGUUACUGCGAAGGGGGGACGGAGAAGGCUAUGUUGGCCGGGCGACGGUUGUCCCGGUUUAAGCGUGUAGGCUGGUUUUCCAGGCAAAUCCGGAAAACUAAGGCUGAGGCGUGAUGACGAGGCACUACGGUGCUGAAGCAACAAAUGCCCUGCUUCCAGGAAAAGCCUCUAAGCAUCAGGUAACAUCAAAUCGUACCCCAAACCGACACAGGUGGUCAGGUAGAGAAUACCAAGGCGCUUGAGAGAACUCGGGUGAAGGAACUAGGCAAAAUGGUGCCGUAACUUCGGGAGAAGGCACGCUGAUAUGUAGGUGAAGUCCCUCGCGGAUGGAGCUGAAAUCAGUCGAAGAUACCAGCUGGCUGCAACUGUUUAUUAAAAACACAGCACUGUGCAAACACGAAAGUGGACGUAUACGGUGUGACGCCUGCCCGGUGCCGGAAGGUUAAUUGAUGGGGUUAGCGCAAGCGAAGCUCUUGAUCGAAGCCCCGGUAAACGGCGGCCGUAACUAUAACGGUCCUAAGGUAGCGAAAUUCCUUGUCGGGUAAGUUCCGACCUGCACGAAUGGCGUAAUGAUGGCCAGGCUGUCUCCACCCGAGACUCAGUGAAAUUGAACUCGCUGUGAAGAUGCAGUGUACCCGCGGCAAGACGGAAAGACCCCGUGAACCUUUACUAUAGCUUGACACUGAACAUUGAGCCUUGAUGUGUAGGAUAGGUGGGAGGCUUUGAAGUGUGGACGCCAGUCUGCAUGGAGCCGACCUUGAAAUACCACCCUUUAAUGUUUGAUGUUCUAACGUUGACCCGUAAUCCGGGUUGCGGACAGUGUCUGGUGGGUAGUUUGACUGGGGCGGUCUCCUCCUAAAGAGUAACGGAGGAGCACGAAGGUUGGCUAAUCCUGGUCGGACAUCAGGAGGUUAGUGCAAUGGCAUAAGCCAGCUUGACUGCGAGCGUGACGGCGCGAGCAGGUGCGAAAGCAGGUCAUAGUGAUCCGGUGGUUCUGAAUGGAAGGGCCAUCGCUCAACGGAUAAAAGGUACUCCGGGGAUAACAGGCUGAUACCGCCCAAGAGUUCAUAUCGACGGCGGUGUUUGGCACCUCGAUGUCGGCUCAUCACAUCCUGGGGCUGAAGUAGGUCCCAAGGGUAUGGCUGUUCGCCAUUUAAAGUGGUACGCGAGCUGGGUUUAGAACGUCGUGAGACAGUUCGGUCCCUAUCUGCCGUGGGCGCUGGAGAACUGAGGGGGGCUGCUCCUAGUACGAGAGGACCGGAGUGGACGCAUCACUGGUGUUCGGGUUGUCAUGCCAAUGGCACUGCCCGGUAGCUAAAUGCGGAAGAGAUAAGUGCUGAAAGCAUCUAAGCACGAAACUUGCCCCGAGAUGAGUUCUCCCUGACUCCUUGAGAGUCCUGAAGGAACGUUGAAGACGACGACGUUGAUAGGCCGGGUGUGUAAGCGCAGCGAUGCGUUGAGCUAACCGGUACUAAUGAACCGUGAGGCUUAACCUU